rnacentral:rRNA from 1 species
CGGGCAUAGCAAUAUGUCAGCGGCAGACGGGUGAGUAACGCGUGGGAACGUACCUUUUGGUUCGGAACAACUGAGGGAAACUUCAGCUAAUACCGGAUAAGCCCUUACGGGGAAAGAUUUAUCGCCGAAAGAUCGGCCCGCGUCUGAUUAGCUAGUUGGUGAGGUAAUGGCUCACCAAGGCGACGAUCAGUAGCUGGUCUGAGAGGAUGAUCAGCCACAUUGGGACUGAGACACGGCCCAAACUCCUACGGGAGGCAGCAGUGGGGAAUAUUGGACAAUGGGCGCAAGCCUGAUCCAGCCAUGCCGCGUGAGUGAUGAAGGCCCUAGGGUUGUAAAGCUCUUUUGUGCGGGAAGAUAAUGACGGUACCGCAAGAAUAAGCCCCGGCUAACUUCG